rfam:Megasphaera cerevisiae DSM 20462 scaffold_50, whole genome shotgun sequence.
UGUACCUUUAAUAUAGUCCAGAGAGGCUAAAAAGGGACAUAUUUUGCCAUGCUUAGAUAUGACCUUUGCCUUUCGGCAGAGGUCUUUUUUAUA